rnacentral:snoRNA from 1 species
AUGCGAGGUCCAGAGUCACCUUCCUGGCAUUAAUUGUUGGUUGGGUGCUAGGAUUGCUCGAAAAUAAAAAAAGGGUAUAUUAUGCAAGUAGAGCUUGCUUUUGCGCUCCUCUCCUUCACCUCAUUCCCAAACAUU